rnacentral:misc_RNA from 1 species
UACGGAGGGUGCGAGCGUUAAUCGGAAUUACUGGGCGUAAAGGGUGCGUAGGUGGUUUAAUAAGUUAUCUGUGAAAUUCCUGGGCUUAACCUAGGGUGGUCAGAUAAGACUGUUAGACUCGAGUAUAGGAGAGGGCAGUGGAAUUUCCGGUGUAGCGGUGAAAUGCGUAGAGAUCGGAAGGAACACCAGUGGCGAAGGCGGCUGUCUGGCCUAAUACUGACGCUGAGGCACGAAAGCGUGGGGAGCAAACAGG